GACGAACGCUGGCGGCGUGCUUAACACAUGCAAGUCGAACGGAAAGGCCCUGCUUUUGUGGGGUGCUCGAGUGGCGAACGGGUGAGUAACACGUGAGUAACCUGCCCUUGACUUUGGGAUAACUUCAGGAAACUGGGGCUAAUACCGGAUAGGAGCUCCUGCUGCAUGGUGGGGGUUGGAAAGUUUCGGCGGUUGGGGAUGGACUCGCGGCUUAUCAGCUUGUUGGUGGGGUAGUGGCUUACCAAGGCUUUGACGGGUAGCCGGCCUGGGAGGGUGACCGGCCACAUUGGGACUGCGAUACGGCCCAGACUCCUACGGGAGGCAGCAGUGGGGAAUAUUGCACAAUGGGCGGAAGCCUGAUGCAGCAACGCCGCGUGCGGGAUGACGGCCUUCGGGUUGUAAACCGCUUUCGACUGUGACGAAGCGUGAGUGACGGUAAUGGGUAAAGAAGCACCGGCUAACUACGUG
rnacentral:rRNA from 1 species